CUGCUCUCUGCACCAGGGAGGAAGCCAGAGCAAAGGAAGCUCAGCCUCCCAAGAGCAUUCUCCCAGGAGAUGGUGUGGCCAAGAUAUGGCCUGCUUCUGUUCCCGUUCUUCUGUCUGAAACAAGGGAUACCCUCCACCCAGCCAUUGUCUGAAGAGCUUCAUUGAAAGCACCAAACUGCAAGGUGGAGCUGGGAAGAAGAAAACCACGCAGGCUGGAGUCCCUCAAGUUCUAUACUUAAAUUCCAUCUCCAUGGCAGCAUGACA